rnacentral:lncRNA from 1 species
UUUUCCUCUUGGCUAUGCUGGUCAGAGGUACAGUCAUUACAUUUUUGACCACGUGUCUCAGAAAAGCCAAAUCUCCAGCCUGGCAGCUCAUCUUCUCAGAUGAUGAAGGCAAAAAUGUGCAACACUAAAAAGGUGAGACUUGGAUUCCUCAUUUUGGGCUGCACAGUUUUCAUGUACCAAAUGCUCUGGACAGGAAUGAGCCUGCUGAGUGUUUGCCCACAGUUUCCUCUGCUGAGGAAAUGACUUUUAGCAGUUCUGUAGGAGGAAAACAUCCCAUUACAGAAUGACUGAAUGCUUGUGUGGUAUGAAGAUCUCCCUGGAAGGAAAUUUCUGAUCUAGAAUAAAGUGUUGACAAGAACAGAAUAAAACCCUUUUGAAACAAGCACAGACAAGAUCCAUGUUGGUGGAUUUUGGAUGAAUGCUUUUGAGCUCUCAGCAUGCAACCUAAAGUCAACCCAGAGCAGUCUAGAGAAUUUUGUUUUCAGAACUUUUUAACUCUCAGAACCUUUACCUCAUUCAAAAAUGAAAACAAAAUUGCACAAAUCAAUUCUUAAGAUUAUAUUUAUGAACUGAAAGUAUAGCUGUACGCAAGCAGCACACUUCCUUAAUCUAUUCUAUAUCUGUCAGACUACAAAUCUAAACCAAACAGGUUUUGAAGAAAUGCAAAAUGUCCAUGUUGAUCAUGCAUACAGCCCUUAGGAAUAAAAGCCAUCCAUGUUCAACAUUAUGACAUCAGGAUACAUUGAUGGCAUGAUAAGAAUUUGGAAUUGCCCAGUAAGUUUUCAUAUCCUUGCUCAUCUCUUUCCACUCCUUCCAAGAUAACAGAAUUUCUUUCUAAAACAUAUGAUUUUUCAAAAAAAAAAUCCAGUGAGGUAGGCCCAUUCCCCCAAGAUGUCACAAGUUGCCACAAAGAGCUGUGCAGUGGGCAUGGCAUGUCACCUGAAUUUUCCUACACACAGCAAGCAGACAUUGCUGCAAUUCUAUCUUCUGGGGCUGCUGCUGGUCUCUGAACAGCUCAGUACUGCCUUUGGACCAAAACCAUUUAAACACAUACCUACACCUUUCAUGUCCCAGGGAACCCUUUGGUUCACCCUGCAGGCUCCAUGCUUGCCACGGGUGCUCAGGCAGAGCGUGGGGGAAGCUGUGGGGUGAAGCCCACAGGCAGCAUCUCCUCCACGGAGCUGUGGCUCAGACCAGGCUGUGUUAUUUCUGACCUGUGGAUGUGGGGUGAGAGAGCUGGUGCUGAGCAUCUGCACUUUGCACAUUUCAGGGUUUUUCUUGUUUUGAACCUGGUCUGGUCCUAUGGAUUGAAUGUCCUGGGACUGUGGUCCCUGAGGUGCACUCCGGAAGGACACUGUGAGUUCCACCUGGAGGAACCCAAAUCUUAUGCUCUGAUCUUAAUGGCUACAGCAAGCUGGGUAUGGAGGAAGGGCUGGGGCUUUCCCUUGCAGCUCAUGAGAUUAAUCUGAGUCAUGGUUUUAGCUGAUCAUCAUCAGAUUACCAAACACAGCAACUCUUACUAUAUAUAAAAGCUGGUGUACCCGGAAUGACCGAUUAAUACCAAUUUACUCAGGAGUGCUAUUUCAAGUCUUUAACAUCUUUAACAGUCCCUCUGUUCAUCUCAGAUGUGAGUGUCCAAAACUGUGGAAUGGAUCAAUCAGCGAUUCUAAUCACUGUUCUGCUAUUUAUUAAAUCAGGGCUACAGUGACAGAUCCUAAUGUGAUAAUUACAAUGCUGGACCCGGAGAUUUGGCAGUGGCUGUGGAAUACGUGAGUCACAGCACUGAGAGCACCAAGGCCAAAAUGGCAAAACUCACAGAGUCCAAAUAAAAUAAAAGAAAAUAAGUACAGAAAAAAAGAAGUCUAAGAACACACAAAAUGCCAAUUAUAGUGAAAUAGCUGUUAUAAAAAGCUCUCCUCAAGAAGAUAGAUCAGAUUUGUAAGAGGAAUUACAGAGUAUGUCUAGCUCUGUAAUCUUUAAUUGUGACAGAUAAACUGCAUGAAGAGAAGUUUACUUAUGCUUUGUGAGAAAACACACUCGUUAUAUGGCACUGUGUGAAUUUGCAUGGUGCUACAGGAUUUUAGAGUUGGGAGAAUUAUUGAUAAAAUUUAGUUAAGUAAAAGAAAAUCAAUGGAUGUGCUGUGCAUUUGACCCUCACAUAUACAAACCUUUCAACAUCAACGCCAUGGAAAGCUGUAAAGACCUGAGUUCUCUCUCUUGGGUUUUUUGGGGUUCAGAUGCAAAUGGGAGAAAGGGCUCCUUACAGGAGCAGUACUGGUGAAGACAAUGGGAUCUACAGAGGGCUGCUGCAGAGGAAGGAAGCAGUUGUGUUCUGGGUCUUUACAAUCUGCUACAGCUCUUCUUUCUCCCUAGGAAGGCUUUUUGGAGAAAGCUGUGGCAUGCAGAGAAGAGACAAUGUACUAAGGAGAUCCCUGGACUAAUAAACUAUUGACCCUCCAAAAGUGAACCAUGUAACUCAUUUUUUGCAACACCUCUGAAGACUGUAGAGCUGAAUGCAUCAUGCAAAUCAUUGCUGUGUCUGACUCACAAGUGCAGGAGAUAAGUGCCAGUGUGAGCUCUGGGGCUGGUUUUCCUCUGUCUCUCUUUCCUGGAUUAACUCAUUACUCAGUUAGAAGAACAAAUGCUGUGGGCUGAGGUGGUGCUCAGCACUCUGUAAGUUUUAUCAGAUGUGGCUUCCAAGUGCAUUAAAUAAUAUUUAAUGAGACUUGUCUGCCUUGCCUGCAGUCCCCACCAGUUCUGCUUUGUUGUGGUAGCACAGGAGAGAGGAAAGAACAAAACACUUUCUUUUGUGUUUUCUCACUUGUAGGACCCAUGCAACAGGAGGUUUGCAGUAGCACCCAAGACACAGGCGAAAUCUCGUGUUAAAAUCUUGCUAAAAUAUCACAUUGCUGGUCAUACACUGCCAGCACUUUUAAACAUAGCAGACUCUCUGGGAGGUUUAUAGACUGACUUUUAAUUCUCUAAAUGUAACCCUCUGCAGUUUAAAAAGAAAGGGAAUACCACGCUAUUCUCUUCACUAUGCUUCAGAAAGUUGUGGAGAAGUCUUGUUUCUGCCAUUGCUUGUAGAAGGGACCACGGGCCAGAUGUAGGGAUGCAAUGCAGGGUAGAGAUGGCUGCAGGAAAAGGGUGAAUCCUGGUACAUGGCAUGACCAGAGAGCCCAUGAUGUUAGUGUGCAAACUGACAGCUUCCCCACCUGCCCCUCCUGGUACUGUCACUCCCGAAAUCUCCCACAGAUGUUGCAGCAAGCUCCUCUCCUCCCACAGUAACCACCUCACAUAGGGACCUGCAAUACUUCUGCAUUUAUCCUCUGUAGCCACAAAUGUGAGAUCAUCAAGGUAAUGGGGAUUAUUUUGUCUAGAGCCACUGAAAUUCACUGUGCAAACAACUUGUGAUUUUAGCACUUUUGCUGCAACAGGUUCCCUGCAGUCAGACAGUGGGGACAACACACCCACGACAGAGCACACAGGUCCUGUGGGCCUCAUUUUACAGUACUACCUGGAACAUGGUUAAUAAUUUGCUGAGAAAAUGAUUAGUGCAAUACACUUCCUCCAAGUCUUGAAAUUUAUGCAUGAGUCAUUUUAAAGUGAAAUUGCUUUCUAAAUAGGAAUUGUUUCUGAUACUCUGCUUGUGUGCACUCGAAAGCCUCCUGUUAGACACAGGGUGCCUGGAGCAGACCUUUGCCUGCUCUUUGGGCCAGCAGGAGAAAGGCAGGUGGGAACUUUCAAUGAGAAAUUCAGACUUUCGCAUGGAUACACUAAAGGAUGCCUGACAUCAGCUCCUGUGUCUGUACUAACUGUGUGCAGGGACCAGCCUUUCUUCCCCACUUGCACUCGGUGGGUGUGACAAGCCUGGGACACCGCGUCCCCCACCAGAUCUGGCGCUGCCCACUGAGGCGUGCUGAGCAGUGGGACAGCAGAGGGAGCGCUGGGAGGCACUGGGCUGGAUCC